ACUGUGGAAAACACAAUAAAUUGAUUAGAAAUUAUGGGGAAAAGGAAGAAAGAGGAGAAGUUCUCUGGAUUGUGUCUGUCUCGUAUUGGAGCAAGUUUAGUUCCAAAUGCCAUAUUCGCAGCUGUACCCACUACUGUCCACAGUUUCACUGAAACAUGGCCAAGAAGAAAGAAGAACCUUAACACUUUAUCGACAGCAUUAGGCAGCAUUGGUAAUAUAGCACAAGCUGUAGUUGUAUCUAAAGAUGCAAGAGGAUUUAGCAAUUCAAACAAGCUCCUGAGAAUGAAAAUUCUGACUAUGAUGAUAACUCAGGACAUUAUGCUGUGGUUGAUGAAAAUAUUUUGUAUGGACAAAAUGGUGGAAACAAAGAUGAUGGCAAUCUGGAAAAUUAUUCUUCUAAACCUGCACUUGAACCAAUUUAUGCAAAAGUCAAUAAGAAUAGAAAACCAGAGAAAGAAGAAGAAAUGUCGAAUAACAAUUUGGUUUGUUUUGAAGAAGAUAUUACCAGCAUUAGUUGUCUUAGUUCAAACGAUGAUGAUGUACUAGAAGACACCAGCAGACUUGAUAAAUCAACAUCAAAAUCUUAUUUCAAAAAGCGGAAGAGCCAUGAUGAUGUUGAUGGAGCUGAAAAUGGAAUAAGAACUCUUCCAGCGACAAUCAAUGAAAAACGUCCGAAUGAAACAGAUAUCCCAGAAAAAUAACAGAAUGUGACGACAGAAAUUUAGAAAAUGACCACAUGAAUAAAAAAUCAGAAGACAAUUAUGUACACAGGCACAAAAGUGGAAAAAAAGCUAUUGUAAAAUUUGAAGACACAAAUUCUUCUCCAAGAAAGCAAGCACAACAUGAGAAUGUUACUAAACGUAGCAUCAUUACCUCAGCGCCUGACGUUUCUUCAUUAGGAGAAAGAGAAAGACCAAUUGGCAAAGGUGUUAGCACCGAGAGUAUUCAUGAAAGACCAAUUGGCAAAGGUGUUAGCACCGAGAGCAUUCAAGAUAUUUAUCCGUUGGAUUUAGGGAAGGAAUUUGUUGACUCUUUUGAGGAGACCGCCCAUAAGCAAAGAACAACUAAUUACAAAGCACCAUCUGCUGGUAGAAAAGAAAAACGACGUAAGAAUAAAAAUUCAGAGCAAGUACAGCACCACCAGCAGCAUUUGGAAACACGAUUGCUGCCAAAACAAUCUCCAAAACGUUUAUCACAGUUGCAUAACGGUAAUGAACUUGCGCAAGAACAAACAAAAGAUGUUAUGAUUCAAUUUCAGUCAAAACAGAAUUUACUGCAGCCUUCCAAUCGAAAAAAUUCUCAAGGCAAAUAUGUUCCGUCAAAAGAAAAUUUAGUUAAUCAUUCCAUAUCGUCAGUGACAUCCCAAAAUAUACAAAACCUCUCACACAUGAAAGUGAACUGCCUUUAUUUCAAGAAAAUGUUGAUGUUGAGAAUAAAAAGAAAAAAACUUCAUCAUCAUUGAAUUGUAUGUCUACUAGGACAGAAAAUGGCGUUCGUCAGAAACGUUCUCCUAAACACGAGGCGGUUGAUCUUGGUGAAGAAAAUACAACCCUGAACAUAUUGAAGCUAUUGCCUUCAGAAAGUGCCGAUUAUUCAACUCAUGCUUCAAAUAAACUGCUUCAAAUGCAAAUGGAAGAGUUGAAGAAUGAGAACAAUAUCUUGAAAGAUUCAGUUGAAAGGCUUAAUUUUCAUGUCCAACUUGGCAGUUAUCAGACUACCAACGCGCAUAAUUCUUUUAGAGAUGAGGUGAAUAUGAAAUAUAUAACACCCUUGUUGCUUGCUUAUGAUGAUCAAAUUAAACAGAAAGAAGCCAUAAUUGAGUCAUAUAAGGAACAAUUUAAAAAGCUUAAAGACAAAGUGCAGAUACUUGUCAACGAAAACGUACAACUGCGUGAAGAGAAAUUGAAUAACUCGAAAAGGCUAUUUCGUGAUGAAGACGAACGGAAGAAAUUGGAGGAGCAGGCUGAACUAGUUUUGACUGAGAAUGAUUUAUUGAUGAAACGUCAUGAUAUACAAAGAACAAGCUAGAUGAACUUGUCAUUCAUUAUAACAGGGAAAUUUCAAAUUUGUCUGAACAAUGCGAAACAGCGAGAAUAAGAACGACUAGCCUGGAAUCGCAGAUAAAAACGACCAGUUCAAUGUUGGAUAGUUACAAAAUAAGAUUAGAAGAAAUGCAAUGUAAAGAACAAAAGUAUCUUAACGUCAUCAACGAUUACAAAAGAAAGCUUGAUGAAUUACAAAAAACUACGGAAAGUGAAAUCAAGGAUGUCUGUUGUCAAAACAAGAGGUUAACCAAACAGUUAGCAGGUACGUAUAUCAGUACAUGAAUAUGAUUUAAGAUUAAAAUUUACAUGGAGAAAAUUGUAGAAACAAAAACUCGCAGUUUUUUU